rnacentral:rRNA from 1 species
UACAGAUCGUAGAGUUUGAUCCUGGCUCAGAUUGAACGCUGGCGGCAUGCCUUACACAUGCAAGUCGAACGGCAGCGCGGGGCAACCUGGCGGCGAGUGGCGAACGGGUGAGUAAUAUAUCGGAACGUGCCCUGGAGUGGGGGAUAACGCAGCGAAAGUUGCGCUAAUACCGCAUACGAUCUAAGGAUGAAAGUGGGGGAUCGCAAGACCUCAUGCUCCUGGAGCGGCCGACAUCUGAUUAGCUAGUUGGUGGGGUAAAGGCCUACCAAGGCAUCGAUCAGUAGCUGGUCUGAGAGGACGACCAGCCACACUGGAACUGAGACACGGUCCAGACUCCUACGGGAGGCAGCAGUGGGGAAUUUUGGACAAUGGGCGCAAGCCUGAUCCAGCAAUGCCGCGUGAGUGAAGAAGGCCUUCGGGUUGUAAAGCUCUUUUGUCAGGGAAGAAACGGUUGACUCUAAUACAGUUGACUAAUGACGGUACCUGAAGAAUAAGCACCGGCUAACUACGGUGCCAGGCAGCCGCGGUAAU